UUAAGCGACUAAGCGUACACGGUGGAUGCCCUGGCAGUCAGAGGCGAUGAAGGACGUGCUAAUCUGCGAUAAGCGUCGGUAAGGUGAUAUGAACCGUUAUAACCGGCGAUUUCCGAAUGGGGAAACCCAGUGUGUUUCGACACACUAUCAUUAACUGAAUCCAUAGGUUAAUGAGGCGAACCGGGGGAACUGAAACAUCUAAGUACCCCGAGGAAAAGAAAUCAACCGAGAUUCCCCCAGUAGCGGCGAGCGAACGGGGAGCAGCCCAGAGCCUGAAUCAGUAUGUGUGUUAGUGGAAGCGUCUGGAAAGGCGCGCGAUACAGGGUGACAGCCCCGUACACAAAAAUGCACAUGCUGUGAGCUCGAUGAGUAGGGCGGGACACGUGGUAUCCUGUCUGAAUAUGGGGGGACCAUCCUCCAAGGCUAAAUACUCCUGACUGACCGAUAGUGAACCAGUACCGUGAGGGAAAGGCGAAAAGAACCCCGGCGAGGGGAGUGAAAAAGAACCUGAAACCGUGUACGUACAAGCAGUGGGAGCUCGCUUAGGCGUGUGACUGCGUACCUUUUGUAUAAUGGGUCAGCGACUUAUAUUCUGUAGCAAGGUUAACCGAAUAGGGGAGCCGAAGGGAAACCGAGUCUUAACUGGGCGUUAAGUUGCAGGGUAUAGACCCGAAACCCGGUGAUCUAGCCAUGGGCAGGUUGAAGGUUGGGUAACACUAACUGGAGGACCGAACCGACUAAUGUUGAAAAAUUAGCGGAUGACUUGUGGCUGGGGGUGAAAGGCCAAUCAAACCGGGAGAUAGCUGGUUCUCCCCGAAAAGCUAUUUAGGUAGCGCCUCGUGAAUUCAUCUCCGGGGGUAGAGCACUGUUUCGGCAAGGGGGUCAUCCCGACUUACCAACCCGAUGCAAACUGCGAAUACCGGAGAAUGUUAUCACGGGAGACACACGGCGGGUGCUAACGUCCGUCGUGAAGAGGGAAACAACCCAGACCGCCAGCUAAGGUCCCAAAGUCAUGGUUAAGUGGGAAACGAUGUGGGAAGGCCCAGACAGCCAGGAUGUUGGCUUAGAAGCAGCCAUCAUUUAAAGAAAGCGUAAUAGCUCACUGGUCGAGUCGGCCUGCGCGGAAGAUGUAACGGGGCUAAACCAUGCACCGAAGCUGCGGCAGCGACGCUUAUGCGUUGUUGGGUAGGGGAGCGUUCUGUAAGCCUGCGAAGGUGUGCUGUGAGGCAUGCUGGAGGUAUCAGAAGUGCGAAUGCUGACAUAAGUAACGAUAAAGCGGGUGAAAAGCCCGCUCGCCGGAAGACCAAGGGUUCCUGUCCAACGUUAAUCGGGGCAGGGUGAGUCGACCCCUAAGGCGAGGCCGAAAGGCGUAGUCGAUGGGAAACAGGUUAAUAUUCCUGUACUUGGUGUUACUGCGAAGGGGGGACGGAGAAGGCUAUGUUGGCCGGGCGACGGUUGUCCCGGUUUAAGCGUGUAGGCUGGUUUUCCAGGCAAAUCCGGAAAAUCAAGGCUGAGGCGUGAUGACGAGGCACUACGGUGCUGAAGCAACAAAUGCCCUGCUUCCAGGAAAAGCCUCUAAGCAUCAGGUAACAUCAAAUCGUACCCCAAACCGACACAGGUGGUCAGGUAGAGAAUACCAAGGCGCUUGAGAGAACUCGGGUGAAGGAACUAGGCAAAAUGGUGCCGUAACUUCGGGAGAAGGCACGCUGAUAUGUAGGUGAAGUCCCUCGCGGAUGGAGCUGAAAUCAGUCGAAGAUACCAGCUGGCUGCAACUGUUUAUUAAAAACACAGCACUGUGCAAACACGAAAGUGGACGUAUACGGUGUGACGCCUGCCCGGUGCCGGAAGGUUAAUUGAUGGGGUUAGCGCAAGCGAAGCUCUUGAUCGAAGCCCCGGUAAACGGCGGCCGUAACUAUAACGGUCCUAAGGUAGCGAAAUUCCUUGUCGGGUAAGUUCCGACCUGCACGAAUGGCGUAAUGAUGGCCAGGCUGUCUCCACCCGAGACUCAGUGAAAUUGAACUCGCUGUGAAGAUGCAGUGUACCCGCGGCAAGACGGAAAGACCCCGUGAACCUUUACUAUAGCUUGACACUGAACAUUGAGCCUUGAUGUGUAGGAUAGGUGGGAGGCUUUGAAGUGUGGACGCCAGUCUGCAUGGAGCCGACCUUGAAAUACCACCCUUUAAUGUUUGAUGUUCUAACGUUGACCCGUAAUCCGGGUUGCGGACAGUGUCUGGUGGGUAGUUUGACUGGGGCGGUCUCCUCCUAAAGAGUAACGGAGGAGCACGAAGGUUGGCUAAUCCUGGUCGGACAUCAGGAGGUUAGUGCAAUGGCAUAAGCCAGCUUGACUGCGAGCGUGACGGCGCGAGCAGGUGCGAAAGCAGGUCAUAGUGAUCCGGUGGUUCUGAAUGGAAGGGCCAUCGCUCAACGGAUAAAAGGUACUCCGGGGAUAACAGGCUGAUACCGCCCAAGAGUUCAUAUCGACGGCGGUGUUUGGCACCUCGAUGUCGGCUCAUCACAUCCUGGGGCUGAAGUAGGUCCCAAGGGUAUGGCUGUUCGCCAUUUAAAGUGGUACGCGAGCUGGGUUUAGAACGUCGUGAGACAGUUCGGUCCCUAUCUGCCGUGGGCGCUGGAGAACUGAGGGGGGCUGCUCCUAGUACGAGAGGACCGGAGUGGACGCAUCACUGGUGUUCGGGUUGUCAUGCCAAUGGCACUGCCCGGUAGCUAAAUGCGGAAGAGAUAAGUGCUGAAAGCAUCUAAGCACGAAACUUGCCCCGAGAUGAGUUCUCCCUGACUCCUUGAGAGUCCUGAAGGAACGUUGAAGACGACGACGUUGAUAGGCCGGAUGUGUAAGCGCAGCGAUGCGUUGAGCUAACCGGUACUAAUGAACCGUGAGGCUUAACCUU
rnacentral:rRNA from 1 species